rnacentral:lncRNA from 1 species
CAGUUAAAAGUUACUGUAUAUUCUGAAAUAUUUUUUGUUGUAGAAAUAUAUUAUAAAACAUUCCGUAUUAUUUUUAUGUAUCAAGGUCAAUCCAUGGAAGACCAAAAACUACCAACUAUUCUUCUCUUUUUUUAAAAUUGUCUCCACCUCGAAAGGUCAGAGGUUUGGUUUUUGGUUGAAAAACUUUUGCCAUCAUGCACGAUGAAAUACUCGCCAAAACCAAAAUUUUCUUUAACCCA